rnacentral:rRNA from 1 species
CGAGCGAGUCUGCCUUGAGAUCGGAGUGCUUGCACUCUGUGAAACAAGAUACAGGCUAGCGGCGGACGGGUGAGUAACACGUGGGUAACCUGCCCAAGAGAUCGGGAUAACACCUGGAAACAGAUGCUAAUACCGGAUAACAACAGAUGAUGCCUAUCAACUGUUUAAAAGAUGGUUCUGCUAUCACUCUUGGAUGGACCUGCGGUGCAUUAGCUAGUUGGUAGGGUAACGGCCUACCAAGGCGAUGAUGCAUAGCCGAGUUGAGAGACUGAUCGGCCACAUUGGGACUGAGACACGGCCCAAACUCCUACGGGAGGCAGCAGUAGGGAAUCUUCCACAAUGGACGCAAGUCUGAUGGAGCAACGCCGCGUGAGUGAAGAAGGGUUUCGGCUCGUAAAGCUCUGUUGUUGGUGAAGAAGGACAGGGGUAGUAACUGACCUUUGUUUGACGGUAAUCAAUUAGAAAGUCACGGCUAACUACGUGCCAGCAGCCGCGGUAAUACGUAGGUGGCAAGCGUUGUCCGGAUUUAUUGGGCGUAAAGCGAGUGCAGGCGGCUCGAUAAGUCUGAUGUGAAAGCCUUCGGCUCAACCGGAGAAUUGCAUCAGAAACUGUCGAGCUUGAGUACAGAAGAGGAGAGUGGAACUCCAUGUGUAGCGGUGAAAUGCGUAGAUAUAUNGANGAACACCGGUGGCGAAGGCGGCUCUCUGGUCUGUUACUG